CCUACGGGAGGCUGCAGUGGGGAAUAUUGCACAAUGGGGGAAACCCUGAUGCAGCGACGCCGCGUGAGUGCAGAAGUAUUUCGGUAUGUAAAGCUCUAUCAGCAGGGAAGAAAAUGACGGUACCUGCUUAAGAAGCCCCGGCUAACUACGUGCCAGCAGCCGCGGUAAUACGUAGGGGGCAAGCGUUAUCCGGAUUUACUGGGUGUAAAGGGAGCGUAGACGGCAGCACAAGUCUGGAGUGAAAUGCCAGGGCUUAACCCCGGAACUGCUUUGGAAACUGUGCAGCUAGAGUGCAGGAGAGGUAAGUGGAAUUCCUAGUGUAGCGGUGAAAUGCGUAGAGAUUAGGAGGAACACCAGUGGCGAAGGCGGCUUACUGGACUGUAACUGACGUUGAGGCGCGAAAGCGUGGGGAGCAAACAGGAUUAGAUACCCUUGUAGUC
rnacentral:rRNA from 1 species